CGUUCAUGCUCUGUCUCUCUCUGUCCCAAAAAUAAAUAAAAGUUGAAAAAAAAAAUUAAAAAAAAAAAAAAAAAAAAAAAAAAAAGAUCAGUGUAUAUUUAGUUUCUAAACAGUCACAAAGAGGGUUUUAGCAUUGUUUGUGGACUGUAUGCCUAUGGCUAAUAAACAGAGCUGAACUGAACUGUCCCUCUUAGGCUCUGCAACUGUGCAUCUACACGGCUUUUCUGGUUACUUAACAUCUCUGUGCCUCUCUCUCCCCGUGUCACCCUUUAGACAACGGUCCUGGGGCAGAGCAAUUUGGGCCCAGAAGUGUACAGGAAGCACGGCAAAGGCCUGGAAAGACCAAGAAUGCUCAAAGCAAGAAAAUCAGGAGGGCUUGCGAGAUCACAAAAAUCGAUGCCUUUGUUGUGAGAUCACCAAUUCCUUGAGUAGAGAGGAGCAAACCCUCUGGUUAUUACAGAGGAGACCAGCCUGCAGUUUGGGAGGAUUCUAAUUUGUCCCCACGACGUUGCUAACGGGAGCGACACAUUUCAUGUGCUAGCAACAUGGUCUGCAUAUAUAAUGCGACGGCAGCAGCUUGGGACAGCAGGCUUCCCAGGAUAACGAACAAUCUUACAUCAGGCCUUCGUUCACCUUCACUAGGCGAAAUGUGCAAAGAUCUUGCCGUAAGAGCAUUCUCGCUAAGCGUGCGGCAACACGG